GACGAACGCUGGCGGCGUGCCUAAUACAUGCAAGUUGAGCGCUGAAGGUUGGUACUUGUACCAACUGGAUGAGCAGCGAACGGGUGAGUAACGCGUGGGGAAUCUGCCUUUGAGCGGGGGACAACAUUUGGAAACGAAUGCUAAUACCGCAUAAAAACUUUAAACACAAGUUUUAAGUUUGAAAGAUGCAAUUGCAUCACUCAAAGAUGAUCCCGCGUUGUAUUAGCUAGUUGGUGAGGUAAAGGCACACCAAGGCGAUGAUACAUAGCCGACCUGAGAGGGUGAUCGGCCACAUUGGGACUGAGACACGGCCCAAACUCCUACGGGAGGCAGCAGUAGGGAAUCUUCGGCAAUGGACGAAAGUCUGACCGAGCAACGCCGCGUGAGUGAAGAAGGUUGUCGGAUCGUAAAACUCUGUUGGUAGAGAAGAACGUUGGUGAGAGUGGAAAGCUCAUCAAGUGACGGUAACUACCCAGAAAGGGACGGCUAACUACGUG
rnacentral:rRNA from 1 species